CAGGGUUAGUUUAUUUGCAACUGUGAAAAAUACAUCAGUUUUAGAACAUUUUCAUCACCCACAAAAAAACUCUGUGCCCAUUAGUAGACACUCUACAUUCCCUUACGGCAUCCCAGCACUCAGUCCUAGGCAACCAAUACACAAAUAUCUGUCUCUAUAGCUUUGCCUAAUCUGAACAUUUAGCGUAAAUGGAACCACAUAAUAUAUAUUCUUUUGUCACUGUCCUCUUUCACUUAGCAUACAAUUUUCACACAUUUU
rnacentral:lncRNA from 10 species